ensembl:snRNA U2 U2 spliceosomal RNA
AUCGCUUCUCGGCCUUUUGGCUAAGAUCAAGUGUAGUGUCUGUUCUUAUCAGUUUAAUAUCUGAUAUGUUCUCUAUUUGGGAACGCUAUAUUAAACGCAUUUUUGGAACUGGGAGAUGGAAUAGGAUCUUGCUCUAUCCACUCCACGCAUUGACCUGGUAUUGCAAUACUUCCAGGAACAGUGCACCUGCU